AUGUCGUGCAAUCCCGUUUCGUUCUCGAGCAGGCUGAGUCCCACGAGCAUGCCCCCUUGCAUCUGCCCUGGGAGAAACUCUAGCAGGGUAGAGAAAAUUAGAGAAGAAAGGAUAUUAUUACACGGUGCAAUUGUAUUUUCAUCCUCGAGGCUUGCCGAACGCAGGCUUCUGGGUCUCCUGCCUAGAGGCUCCACUCCAGCCAGCAGGGAAGCCAGGAUUGAUCCUUUGUCGUGCCGUGAGCAAUGGCACUUCACAGACAGAAAAGGCACCAGCUUCAAGCACUUAAAAACCUGCCUGUACACGAAAGUACAGCAAAGAUCACACGUGUAAUCCAUGAGGCAAGGCAAAGAUGAGCAGCCGUAUCAUUCGCAGAGAAGGUCAGGCUUGGUUUGUGUGCCUGGUUUAAAUGAAUUCUAGAGAAAGAAAACUGCUCUUAGGCAGCGGAGAAGACAGCGUGCUAAGGAAUAUAAUACUGGGCAUCAACUUCCUUGCCUUUCACACCAUCGUCUGUUCCCUAAUGAUCGCUCCUCCCACUACCAGACCAUGAACUUGGUGCACAGCAAAUGUAGUCGGCCCAGCAGACCACGCAGUGCCUGGGAG
rnacentral:lncRNA from 13 species